AACGAACGCUGGCGGCAGGCCUAACACAUGCAAGUCGAGCGCCCCGCCAGGGGAGCGGCGGACGGGUGAGUAACGCGUGGGAACGUACCCUUUGCUACGGAAUAGCCUCGGGAAACUGGGAGUAAUACCGUAUGUGUCCUUCGGGAGAAAGAUUUAUCGGCAAGGGAUCGGCCCGCGUUGGAUUAGGUAGUUGGUGGGGUAAUGGCCUACCAAGCCGACGAUCCAUAGCUGGUUUGAGAGGAUGAUCAGCCACACUGGGACUGAGACUCGGCCCAGACUCCUACGGGAGGCAGCAGUGGGGAAUCUUAGACAAUGGGCGCAAGCCUGAUCUAGCCAUGCCGCGUGAGCGAUGAAGGCCUUAGGGUUGUAAAGCUCUUUCAGGGGGGAAGAUAAUGACUGUACCCCCAGAAGAAGCCCCGGCUAACUCCGUG
rnacentral:rRNA from 1 species